rnacentral:tRNA from 1 species
GGGGCGUUAGCUCAGUUGGUAGAGCAGCGGGCUCUUAAUCCGUAGGUCGAGUGUUCGAGUCACUCACGCCCCACCA